AUGCCGGUGAGGACAGCAAAGGAGAAAGAGAAGGAGAGGAAGCACCAUGUCAACGCCGGCGAGGACGGCAAGCACGGGAAGGAGUCCAAGGUGGAGCACGAGAAGCUGCACGGGCAAAUCAAGCAGGAUGUUAAGGCCACGAAGGAAGACGGCGGCGACCUUGUGAUACGGCCACGUAGUCAAGAGUCAACCGUCCACGACUCGACCGGUGACUGUGUGACCGUGCUCGACUCGCCCGUGCUGGACUGGGCAAGCGGCGCCGCCGUAAGCAUCUUCUCCGGCAGCGGUUUCUUCUCCGCGGUGGUGGAAGCAUUUCUUGAUAGCGGCAGAGCUAUUGCGAGAGCGCGGGGGCUGAAUGAGAUGGAGCGAGGAGACAGUGCUUCAAAUCGGGGAGGUUCAGGUUCUGCCACCACAUUCGCAAUUAUAGUGGAAUUUUUUCCCUGUAAAGCCAAGCUCAGUGAUGGCAGUGUCCAAGACAUUGAUAGAGAUACCACCGUGAGGUUGGAUGUCGAAUUUGCAGAUGUUGAUCGCCAGGAAUUGGAGAGCAUGAAGGAGAAGGCCGUGGGCAAUUUGGUGGAGAGAAUUGGGGAGAGUAUUGUUUGGGGUCCAGAAAAAGAGGUAUCUCUGCAACGUUUCGAUAACUAUAAUGGUGAAUAUGUGAGAAUUGAAGAUGGAGAAUCCAUGGUUGCUGAAAUUGAUCAGCAAGAAGGGUGGGCAAGCAAACAAGUAAAAUUUUAUGCUGAGCUAAUUGAUCUGCAAACUCAUUCCAGAGUUGGUUAUGUGCCAUCAAAGAUGGCUGCACAGGUGGAAGAUAAUGAGUGGGUUUCACAAAAGAAGAUGUUGGCAUUGUUGACUGAACCGACUGUAGUAGCUGAAGAUACAGGGAUUGAUGCAGAUGGAGAGGAGGGAACCCAUGGUGCUAGGAAGAUUGUUGUUGACUGGAAUGUAGUAGAGUUGAAUGAAAAAACAGAUUUGGUCAUUACACCAAUAUCUGACAUUGAUAUGGCCGAAAUGUUUGGCAUUCAAGUUGAUGACAAAGAUAAGGAGAAGGAUGACAGUUCUUUGCCUGCUGAUGGUAACACAUGCCCUAGAAAUGCAAAUGAGGAUGAAGAAGAGCUGAUGAGAGAGGCUGCAGAUGAUGUGGAUGAUGCAGAUGAUAAUGAGCUGGUUUGUUUGUAUGACAAAGAGAACCCAGUUAUUGAGGUGGGAAAGUUGUGGCCAAGCAUGAAGGAGUUUAGGAUGUCUUUCAUGACCUAUGCAGUGAAAAAAGAGUUUGAUGCCAAGAUUAUGUGGACUGAUCGAAAGAAAUUUUAUGCUUGGUGCAAAGGUUAUGAUGGUGGUGGCAAUCCUUGCAAAUGGUACUUGUCUGCCAGACUACAACCUGAUGGUAGUACAGCGCUAGGGCAAUCUGAAAUUGUUGCAGAUGAAGCAACUGUUGUGCUGCUAUGCGAAUCUGCUUUGACAGCUGUGUUGCCAUGUUUGGAGGUUGUGCUGCCAAGUGUUGAGUUGCAAACUGAAGUAGUUGAACAAUGUGUGCCAUCUACUCAAGCUGCAGAAGUGCAAACUGAAGAAGUGGGACAUGGUGAGGGGAAAAGUUGA
rnacentral:rRNA from 1 species